rnacentral:rRNA from 1 species
CAGCCGCCGCGGUAAUACAGAGGGUGCGAGCGUUAAUCGGAAUUACUGGGCGUAAAGCGUGCGUAGGCGGUGAGUUAAGUCUGCUGUGAAAUCCCCGGGCUCAACCUGGGAAUGGCAGUGGAUACUGGCUCGCUAGAGUGUGUCAGAGGAUGGUGGAAUUCCCGGUGUAGCGGUGAAAUGCGUAGAGAUCGGGAGGAACAUCAGUGGCGAAGGCGGCCAUCUGGGACAACACUGACGCUGAGGCACGAAAGCGUGGGGAGCAAACAGGAUUAGAUACCCCCGUAGUCCCUGUCUCUUAUAC